UAAAUGUUUUCAGGACAAGAUGAGGCAACUUGGCAGCCAGACAAUUUGGAGUGCUGAUGGCUCUACAGACAUGAAUCUAGUCAAGACACAGGUACACCCCUCUCAAAUUGCAGCAGAGAAGAAAAUGGUUCACCAUGACACACAGACAACUCGAGCAUCAUCCCUUCCAAAGAGCUGUGCCUUGCCACUAGGUCAGACUGCAGCACUCCUUUUCAGCAUGACAGGCACUCAACAUUUACGCAACACCCAGCACCUUCAAAGCUUGUUAUAAAGUAUUCAGCUUGUUAGUCCUCUGAACGCACCGGAAAGGUGUUAUUACAGACAUGAAGAAACCUUCUCAGAAGAUCUACUUGGACAGGUGGUGCUGGAGUUGUGAUUAUAAUCUAGUUGUGUGUGGGCCAAAGUCUCUCUUAUUUACACCAGUGUCAGAUGAUGGAAUAACUCUGUUUCUCUCAGGUACUGAUCUGAGAUGCUGAUAGAUCAGGUGCAUCAUGAUGUUGGUGAUAUCAAACUUUUUAACAACAACAAAGAAAAAAUGAAAGUGCCAGACACACCUCGUUUUUCUUCCGUGUUUCUCUGCUGAGGUCAGUGGAAUUAUUCCUUGUUUACACUCAGUGAGAUUGAAGUGACAGCCUGAUCUGACAGAUUCAACCUCAGCCCUAGUACAUGGAGCUGACAGCCUAAAUA